UAUUCGCGAUAUUUUUGCCGUGGUAUGCAAAUGCAAACAAAAACAAGAAGAAAGGGAAAACAUGGAGUGUCUAAAAGUGGUGUCCAAAUUUCUAGGAAAACUCGACGUUUCUGAAGAAAAAUAAGUUCUUUUGGAAAAUCUUGGGAUGCUGAAAGACUUGCUGAUUGAAAAGAUUUGCUCAGUCAAAACAAAAUUUAGAGAAAAUAUCGUCAAUGACUGAUAUCAGUUUUUCUACAUUGAAAAGAAUAAAUAUUGAGGGAAAAGCUAACCAUGGUAUCUUCUGUACUCCAGGGAAGAAAGGAUCAGACAAGCCCACAAGAUAGAGCUAAUCUGGAGCUCAGCAAAGAGAAGAGUCACAAGCAAAAAUUUUGGCAUACCAGCAGCUGACCUUGAAAAACUUAUUCAGAAAGCUUUUGACAGCAUAACACCAGAGCUUUAGAAGAAAAUGACUCAUCAUGUGCUCAAUAUUGAAGCUCAGUGUAAAACCAGAAACAGAAUAAUGGAAGAACUUGAAUCGUUUAUUUUAAGUGUGUUUAAUGAUGAUGACUUUGACAGUAGUUCAGAAUCAAUGGACGCUGAGUUUCUAGAAUCCGAUUUUGAUUAUAGUUCCUAAUAAAGUACAAAACCUUCUUAAUUUUACAUAAUUUUAAAUUAAAGGAAAAAUUCACAUAUCAUUUGCAGAUUAAAAAGUAACUUCUUAAUUUUACUUCUUGCACAACAUAUUAGGCUCAUUCACUACAGAGAGUGCUCUGCUCUCGGUCAAUCGGUCAAAUGAACUAUUUGGUCUUUUAGUUCCUUUAGAUCAGUGGUUAUUGGGAGUCAGGGAUGAUUUAGGUCUGAUACAUUUCAUUCCAGACUCCUUUUACAUAUGAUAUUUUUCCAAUCUUUGGUAACUGAAUAUAAUUCCAAGUUUUAGUACCUAUAAUAUUAUCCAAGUUAUAUUUUAUAUAGAAAAUAUUUAAUUUUCCUGCAUAGAUUUAGACCUUAAACAUUCCUUUCAUCUCUUUCGCACUUGUGCGAAUGGCAUUUUUUACUGUUUUGUUCCGCCUGUUAUCCAGUUCACUCGGUCAAGCGCUCUCCGAUCCCACUGAACUAUAGGACCUAAUAAGGACCGAUUCAGACCGUGCAAGAUUUAGUUCCUUUCGGUCAUUUAUGGGAUUUCAUUCCUAACAGUACUUAGCUCAUGACCGACACAAGCCUACAACGUAUCAGCAUUGCGAUACAACGAGCAAAUGUCUCCAGCAUCCUUGGUACAAUGCCUAAAUGGCGUAGCUAUUGUAGACUAGGCUAGUUCUUAAUUUCAUUUCAUUAUGAUUUUAUUUAUUAUUGUAGAGAAAUAAAUGAUUAUGACAUUUUA